AGCGAACGCUGGCGGCAGGCUUAACACAUGCAAGUCGAACGCCCGUAGCAAUACGGGAGUGGCAGACGGGUGAGUAACGCGUGGGAACAUGCCCUUUGGUUCGGAAUAACUCAGGGAAACUUGAGCUCAUACCGGAUAAGCCCGAGAGGGGAAAGAUUUAUCGCCGAAGGAUUGGCCCGCGUCCGAUUAGCUAGUUGGUGAGGUAAUGGCUCACCAAGGCGACGAUCGGUAGCUGGUCUGAGAGGAUGAUCAGCCACACUGGGACUGAGACACGGCCCAGACUCCUACGGGAGGCAGCAGUGGGGAAUAUUGGACAAUGGGGGCAACCCUGAUCCAGCCAUGCCGCGUGAGUGAUGAAGGCCCUAGGGUUGUAAAGCUCUUUCGGCGGGGACGAUAAUGACGGUACCCGCAGAAGAAGCCCCGGCUAACUUCGUGCCAGCAGCCGCGGUAACAC
rnacentral:rRNA from 1 species